GGGCGGGGCGGGUCGCAGCGUCGGUUAUGGCGGAGGCGGCCCGGCUGCCGGCUGAGGGUGUCAUCGGGGUAUCGCCCAGCACCAGGCCCCGGCGGGCCCGCAGCGGCAGUGAGGGAGCGGCACCGGCCGGAGCCCCGCAGCUGGAGGAGGUGGAGAUGCAGAUCGGCGACGCCGCCUUCUCGCUGAGCCGCGUCCUGCAGGCGACGAGCGCCGUGUCGGCGCAGGUGGAGGCGCUGGCGGCCCGCUGCUCGGAGAACGCUCGCUGCCUGCGGACGUGGCGGGGCCUGCUGAAGGAGGGCUACGACUCCCUGAAGCCCAGCGAGUGAGCCGCCGGGGGCCGAACUGUGCCGCGCUGCUGCCUGCACGGCCUUCGCCUGUGGUCCUCAUCAGCUCCCCUUGAGCCGAGAGCGUUCGGAAGCACUCGUAUUCGCGCGAGUCCCGCGUAAAAAUAAUCCUGUUCAGAUUGCAACUUUGGACUUCCUCGGCAGCUCAGUAACUCAAGAUGCUGCCAAACUACUUGGAACAGAAGUCAUUUUGUUCAAUGGACAAUCUUUUAUUUUGAUUGAACAUACAGUAGAUACUUAACUUUUGAUUUCAAGAUAAUCCAAAGUUCUGUAAACAGCUGAAGUGUGAGUCACACUAUUUUUAAUUCUACUUCUUACAUUAUUAAGAAGUGCAAACAUCAGAAGUAUCUUUUAACUUCAUCUUAAAAAGCUUCAAAUCACCAAUACAAAAGAAUUUAUUUUACCUUCUUGGGCUUCCAGGCCAUUGGACUGUGAAUAUGGUACUAAAAGAACAAAAGAAAUCAUAGUAAUCCUUAAGGGAACAGAUCAUCUUCAGUAUGUAAGUGCAAAAGAACUGCCUCUAUAUCUAUCCUUACACCUUUUUUUCUGGGAUACAGAGGUUUGUUUCAGAUGGAUAAAAUUACUGUGCUGUUGUAAUAUAGGGAAGAAAAAUGCAGCCCAAAAAAUGCUCAACUGUGAUGUUCCUAAAAUUUUUUUUAGCCAUAACACAUCCAUUCACGUAUACAAGGAGAUUGAAAUAUGUAUGUGAUGACACUUAUUAAGACUGACAAUCAACUAUUUGGCACUCUCCUGUUAUUCAAUAUAGAGAAAUAGAUAAAGGAUGAAACCUGUUGAAGUGUGUAAACUGUUGGGAGCUAUUUAGUUUAGCUCAUAAUGAAAUGGUGAGGAGAAGAGCAGCAUCAAGAUACUGGGGUACUCAGUUUGGUCUUCCUAAAUCUUCUGAAGGGAGAAAUUUCCUCUAGUUAACAGCUGGAGGACACACAGUUGAGAAACACAUUUGAAAAAAAAUAUUCUGAUUCUGCUUGAAUGAGAACAAUUGUGCGGGUGAAACAGAUGAUUAAAGGAAUAAUGUUUCCACCUGUUUGACCUUAACAAAUAUAAUAAAUUUAUCUAAUUAUGAAAUGAAAAUAUUUUCUUAGUGUUAUUCCCUAAAGCUUUAAAGAGCUGUAUGCAGUCUAAAAAGUCUGCCACUCAGAAAUUUUGAGAGGAGUAUGUUUUUAAAGAUGAAACCAGUCAACUCUGAAAAAUAAAACAGCUGUUGAAAUGGGUGUUCUUUUUUUUAUUAUAAAAAGUUUAUUGAAAAUAGCCUUUUUUCCCCCCAAAGAUAGAUGAUUUUGAAACAUUCUGAUUUCAGUAUGAGAUGUUUUAAAUGUCACUUCAUUUUUUUCCCCCCACACUCCUGGCUUGUUGGAGGAAAAAAAAGAAAGAAGAGAUUGACUUCUCAUUCUGAACUAGAAUGAGUUGUCAAAAUAGCAGGAUCUGUUGCAAGGUGGAAAUAAUACUUUAUAUAUUGGUUCUACCUGCAAGCAGCCAUGCUAUGCUUCUUCCCGCUUUGAGUUCUGGUGCACAGGAGUCGAGGCGUCAUACCUCCUUCUCUUGUUACCAUUGUUGUAAAGCAGCAACUCCACAGGCGUGAAGCUAACAGUGCAGAUGUCACUGUGAAGAUCCCAAACAUAUUUACGUGUACGAAUUUAGUCUUGUUGACUGUGUAGUGACAGAGGCAUCAGAGGAGUCUGUACAAAGCACAGGCUUAGUUAGCUUUGGUGUGAUUUCAUGCAUUGGCCACAUCUCUACCCAAAUGAAGGAUGGACCAUAAGCUUUCUGACUGCCUUUGCCUCUCUUGGAUCUUCUUUGUCUGUAGUUGUACCAAAACUGGUGAAUCAUUUCUUUGAAGGGUCGUGUAGUCAAAGUGUAGAGAAGAGGAUUCAGAGCACUAUUUAUUGGCAAGAUAAAAAUCACUACCCAAGAUGUUAUGGUACCUUGGAGAGAGAAAAAGAAAGGAAGCUGUAGUAGGCAUUAUAGCAUUUCUACUUAUUAAUUAACCUGAGCACUUGAUGCUUAUGAAACAGAGCUUCCUGCUUGGAGGGAUGGCUGCACACUUCCAGGUUGGCUUCAUAUCACAACAGGUUGUUUCUUCUCACUAUUAUGUAUGCACUACCCUUUGCUCCUGUCCUCAGAUAUUAUUCAUUAUAAGUCUUCCCACAAAGCUAACCCUCCUAACCCUUUUUUCCCCUCAGAUACUGGUUUUGCUCUUCUGCAUCAGUUCUGUUCUUUUCAAUGCAUAGGACAUUUGAUACACCCAUAUUUCCUUUUUGCCCUGUUGGUAAGUGUCUCCAUGUUCACACCUCCUUCCUUUAUCAUGGUUUCCUGUUCUCCUGCCUGUGUCAGUGCCUGUGUGCAUUUCUUCAUUACCAUUCUCAUCCUUACUGUUUGGGAUGUCAGAAUCCAAGAGAAGGAACAGGAUUAUUAUGCUGAAAAGUAGUCAUAGCACUGCACUGUUUGAUUUAUAAAACAAUAACAGAACUACAAAUAGGUUUGUACAUUCUGCCUUCCCCUCCACUGUCUGGCUUUAUGAUUUUGCUGCAUUAUGAAUGCACUCCUGUUGAUGCCUCUAAUGUUAUCUGCAGUUUUGGAAACAAGCAGAUGCAUGAUUCAAAAACUGUCACAGUGCAUCUCCCCAAAAAAGAAAUGGGCUUUAAAACUUCUGUAAUCUUAGACAACCACCUGGCGAUGUCUUUCAUUUGAGUUAGUUAAAAUGAGUUAGUACUACUUAACCUAAUCUUGUCUAAUGCAGAAUGUUUACUUGCUCAACCCAGGACCACCCUGAGGUUCAACAAGUUUUAUUGUAGAUUUCCUGACUCAGAAUACAUCUGCUUCUGCUUCUCACAGUGUUUUUUGAAAAUCUCUUAGGUUGUUUGAUAACUUCAUGAAGAAGCAUUCUACAAGACCUACCAUCACUCUAAACUAUUUUGAAUGAUGAACCUAAUUUUCAGACAUUUGACACUUAAGUCAAAAUGUUGAAAAAGUAACUCCCAACACUGCUGGUUCUCAUGCUAACAUAUUCUUUCCAACAUCGUUUACAAUAUCUACAUAAAGAAGCUAUUUUUCUAUUGUGUGCCAGCAUUAAAAAGAGAAAAAACGAAAAAAGAUAUAGUUUUUAAUCUUUUACUGGUUUUACAUGGGAAUGUAUUUUUAGCAUGAAGAAAGUUAGCUUGAUUUUACAUAACUUUGUGCUUGAAGUGUCAGUUUGCACUAAAAAGUUAUUUCAGGGUAAGAAUUAUAUGGUUAAAUCAAGAUAUGAAAUUUUGUAUUGGCUUGAGUUCUAGUUAGGCAACAGAAUCUCCAAAAGCCAGAAGAUGAGAAAACCCAAUCCAGUGCAAGCUUGGUUUAUAAAAUCAUCUUAUAUAUUUUAUAGAUAUUCUAUUGGGACAGACUUCAAAGAUUUGAUUUUUUGUUGUUUUGUCUGAAUUAAAUGUGACUAAACUUGUUGAUUAUAGUCAUAUAGUCUAAUGGAGUAAUAAAGCAAAGUAUAAUUCAUUA